CUUCCAGUAGCACCUUAGAGACCAACUAAGUUUGUUAUUGGUAUGAGCUUUCAUGUGCAUGCAUACUUCUUCAGAUACCAAUCACAAACUUAGUUGGUCUCUAAGGUGCUACUGGAAG